UACGGGGGGAGCAAGCGUUGUUCGGAUUUACUGGGCGUAAAGGGCGCGUAGGCGGCCACCGCAAGUCGACUGUGAAAUCUCCGGGCUUAACCCGGAAAGGUCAGCCGAUACUGCGGGGCUAGAGUGCAGAAGGGGCAACUGGAAUUCUCGGUGUAGCGGUGAAAUGCGCAGAUAUCAGGAGGAACACCGGUGGCGAAGGCGGUUCUCUGGGCAUUACCUGACGCUGAGGAGCGAAAGCAUGGGGAGCGAACAGG
rnacentral:rRNA from 1 species